rnacentral:rRNA from 1 species
GUCGGGAAUUUUGCCCAAUGGACGAAAGUCUGAGGCAGCAACUCCGCGUGAGGGACGAAGGCUCUAGGGUCGUAAACCUCUUUUCUCAGGGAAGAUCCAAGACGGUACCUGAGGAAUAAGCCACGGCUAACUACGUGCCAGCAGCCGCGGUAAUACGUAGGUGGCAAGCGUUGUCCGGAUUUACUGGGCGUAAAGAGCGCGCAGGCGGCUGGUCAAGUCCGAUGUGAAAUCUCCCGGCUCAACUGGGAAACUGCAUCGGAAACUGAUCGGCUUGAAGGUGGGAGAGGGCAGUGGAAUUCCCGGUGUAGUGGUGAAAUGCGUAGAUAUCGGGAGGAACACCAGUGGCGAAGGCGACUGCCUGGCCCAUUCUUGACGCUGAGGCGCGAAAGCUAGGGGAGCAAACGGGAUUAGAAACCCCUGUAGUCC